GAAACCUUUAAUUCAGUCCUGUGAGGCUGGCAAGGAAAUCGGACAUGUUCAGUAAAGAUGGGGAGUUGUGUAUACUCCUGAUUUUUCUUGAACCUGAAAAGCUUUCUGCCUCUCGCAGAAAGCUUUUUUUAU
rfam:Aneurinibacillus migulanus strain DSM 2895 super7, whole genome shotgun sequence.